rnacentral:other from 4 species
CUUGUUCUGCCGUGUACGUGGGGAUAUUAUAUUUUGCCCAACACCAACACACAGGGAGCCUGGACUCCAUCUGUGGCGUAUAUGCCUCCAUAGAGUGGACAUACAAAUCAGGUGGGAGGGCACCCACUUUGUAGACAGGGAGCAAAAUCAUAAGUCCAUACGGCAUGGUGGGACAUUC